rnacentral:pre_miRNA from 1 species
GAAAUACUCCCUCCGUUCCGAAUUACUUGUCGCAGGUAUGGAUGUAUCUAGAUGUAUUUUAGUUCUAGAUACAUCCAUUUCUGCGACGAGUAAUUUGGAACGGAGGGAGUAGUAC